rnacentral:lncRNA from 1 species
GACCGAUCUUUAUAAUUUCUUUUUAUAAACGAAACAUUUUGUAUUUUACCUAAAAUUUUAGAAUUUAUAAGUAAACCACUAUUAAAAUAAUAAACAUAAUUUCUAAAAAUUACAUAAGAGAAGAAUCAAAUAAUUUGCACAUACAAUUCUACCCAAUAAAAAGAAGCAUAUACAAUUCUACCCAAGAAUAAGAUGAGAGAGAAAAAAGAAACCUAAAAGAGAGAAAAGGAGGUGAGGACAAGGGUAUACAGACCCAAGAGGAAGAAAUGUCCCUAGGGUUAGGUGAUUUUAAACUUUGGUUGUCUCAUAAGAACAUGUGAGAAAUGAAAUCAUGGCAUAUGGAUUAAAAUAUGAUCAAGAGAGAGAGAGAGAGAGAGAGAGAGAGAGAGAGAGAGA